rnacentral:rRNA from 1 species
CCUACGGGUGGCAGCAGUGAGGAAUAUUGGUCAAUGGUCGGGAGACUGAACCAGCCAAGCCGCGUGAGGGAUGAAGGUACAGAGUAUCGUAAACCUCUUUUGUCAGGGAACAAAGGAGGGGACGUGUCCCCGGAUGAGUGUGCCUGAAGAAAAAGCAUCGGCUAACUCCGUGCCAGCAGCCGCGGUAAUACGGAGGAUGCGAGCGUUAUCCGGAUUUAUUGGGUUUAAAGGGUGCGCAGGCGGUCGGUAAAGUCAGCGGUAAAAGCACGGGGCUCAACCCCGUCCCGCCGUUGAAACUGGCAGUCUCGAGUUGGAGAGAAGUAUGCUGAAUGCGCGGUGUAGCGGUGAAAUGCAUAGAUAUCGCGCAGAACUCCGAUUGCGAAGGCAGCAUGCCGGCUCCACACUGACGCUGAGGCACGAAAGCGUGGGUAUCGAACAGGAUUAGAUACCCGAGUAGUC